GAUGAUGCCCAGCUUGCUGGGUGGAUUAGUGGCGAACGGGUGAGUAACACGUGAGUAACCUGCCCCUGACUCUGGGAUAAGCGUUGGAAACGACGUCUAAUACUGGAUAUGACUACUGGCCGCAUGGUCUGGUGGUGGAAAGAUUUUUUGGUUGGGGAUGGACUCGCGGCCUAUCAGCUUGUUGGUGAGGUAAUGGCUCACCAAGGCGACGACGGGUAGCCGGCCUGAGAGGGUGACCGGCCACACUGGGACUGAGACACGGCCCAGACUCCUACGGGAGGCAGCAGUGGGGAAUAUUGCACAAUGGGCGAAAGCCUGAUGCAGCAACGCCGCGUGAGGGAUGACGGCCUUCGGGUUGUAAACCUCUUUUAGUAGGGAAGAAGCGAAAGUGACGGUACCUGCAGAAAAAGCACCGGCUAACUACGUGCCAGCAGCCGCGGUAAUACGUAGGGUGCAAGCGUUGUCCGGAAUUAUUGGGCGUAAAGAGCUCGUAGGCGGUUUGUCGCGUCUGCUGUGAAAUCCCGAGGCUCAACCUCGGGCUUG
rnacentral:rRNA from 1 species